rnacentral:rRNA from 1 species
GUAACAAGGUCUCCGUUGGUGAACCAGCGGAGGGAUCAUUACUGAGUUUACGCUCUACAACCCUUUGUGAACAUACCUAUAACUGUUGCUUCGGCGGGUAGGGUCUCCGCGACCCUCCCGGCCUCCCGCCUCCGGGCGGGUCGGCGCCCGCCGGAGGAUAACCAAACUCUGAUUUAACGACGUUUCUUCUGAGUGGUACAAGCAAAUAAUCAAAACUUUUAACAACGGAUCUCUUGGUUCUGGCAUCGAUGAAGAACGCAGCGAAAUGCGAUAAGUAAUGUGAAUUGCAGAAUUCAGUGAAUCAUCGAAUCUUUGAACGCACAUUGCGCCCGCCAGCAUUCUGGCGGGCAUGCCUGUUCGAGCGUCAUUUCAACCCUCAAGCUCUGCUUGGUGUUGGGGCCCUACAGCUGAUGUAGGCCCUCAAAGGUAGUGGCGGACCCUCUCGGAGCCUCCUUUGCGUAGUAACUUUACGUCUCGCACUGGGAUCCGGAGGGACUCUUGCCGUAAAACCCCCAAUUUUCCAAAGGUUGACCUCGGAUCAGGUAGGAAUACCCGCUGAACUUAAGCAUAUCAA